rnacentral:tRNA from 2 species
GGACUCGUAGCUUAGCCAGGAUUGAGCGCCGGCCUUCUAAGCCGGAUGUCGUGGGUUCGAAUCCCAUCGGGUCCG